AAAAGAAUUAACUUUUGAGCUGCUAACUCAAAAUCAAGUGGAUUUAACCAUUUUUCUUUU
rnacentral:tRNA from 1 species